rnacentral:lncRNA from 1 species
GUUUGAGAAAGACUAGGAAAAGAACCGAGCAGCCUGCAGCUGGAGAGAAAUGGGUGCCAUCAAGAGGUAUUUAAAAGGUGAAAAUCACUUCUGCUUGCUGGAAGAUUAGACAUGGGUAAUGUGGAGGGGAAGGUGUCAGGAACAACUUAGUUUGCUUUAUGCUGAAGCUAAGUUUGAGGGAAGAGAACAUGCAUUUGUUUUUAAACUCACAGAGCUUGAGGAGCCUGGAAGGCUGGUAGUAGUCAGGCAGACCUGUGGAGUUCAGGGGCAAAGCCAAGGGCUGGAGUUCUGGAUCUGUGUUUAAGUGAUGGGAACUGUUUUUCUCUUUGUGUCUCCCACAGGUCAUGUUGGCCCCCCUUAUUUCUAUUGCUCUGAAAGUGUCCCAGCUCCAGGAGAGAACAGGACGCACUGCACCCACCGUCAUCACCUAAGAAGACCCACCAGAUGCGGUACGUCCCUCCAUCCCAGGACCUAUUCACGUCAUCUGAUUGAAGAGCAUGGACUGAAACAAAGUGUACCCACCCAGGCUUUUUAGGAUUUGAUUUCUCCACUUCAUGGUUGUUGAUAAACGGUGCUUUGCAAGGCACUGCCAAUUGAGAUGCCCCCGGGAGCCAUGUGGGAGAUGGAAGAGGACCCACAGGCAUUAUGUCAGUUCCUUUUCACGCCCCUCUGCAACUGCUGCUGUGUGGGUAUCUGUCUCCUUAGCAUCAGGCACUGUUCACAUGACAGUGCAAGGUGGAGGCUGAGUGUCAGUGAUCGAGGCCAGCUUUCAGCCUUAGGAUGUGCCCAUGAAAUGAUAGCAGAAGUUCCAUUCUCCUUGGUGAAUCCUUCCCCCAGUUUACUGUUUACAUGUAAUCUAACAAAACGCAAUUUCUGGUGCCUUCUCUCCAAUCAGUUUCCCUCUGAGUGAGACGUACUUGUCUAUAGAUUUCUGACUUGUUUUGCAGCAUAGUCCCAUUUGCACAGAUACUUUGGGAUAUUAAAGCAGAAUAAGCUACUAUUGCAUGUUGUCUUUUGUCUUUUUUUUUUUUCCUUAACAAAGUACGUUUUUGAUUUCUGUAAGAUGACAGAUUUUUUUGUUUUGUUUUGUUUUGGAGUAGGAGGAUAUUAUAAUUUGUUUUGAUGUCCUAG